UACGUAGGGGGCAAGCGUUGUCCGGAUUUAUUGGGCGUAAAGAGCGUGUAGGCGGCUAGGUAGGUCCGUUGUGAAAACUCGAGGCUCAACCUCGAGACGUCGAUGGAAACCAUUUGGCUAGAGUCCGGAAGAGGAAAGUGGAAUUCCUGGUGUAGCGGUGAAAUGCGCAGAUAUCAGGAAGAACACCCGUGGCGAAGGCGGCUUUCUGGGACGGUACUGACGCUGAGACGCGAAAGCGUGGGGAGCAAACAGG
rnacentral:rRNA from 1 species